rnacentral:SRP_RNA from 1 species
CGGUCGCCUCGUAACAGACGGCCACGAACCUCGUCAGGUCCGGAAGGAAGCAGCGAUAAGUGAUCCCUUCUGUGUCGUGGAU